UUGCAGGCUGCAACUCGCCUGCAUGAAGUUGGAAUUGCUAGUAAUCGCGAAUCAGAAUGUCGCGGUGAAUACGUUCCCGGGCCUUGUACACACCGCCCGUCACACCAUGAGAGUCGAUAACACCCGAAGCCUGUGAGCUAACCGCAAGGGGGCAGCAGUCGAAGGUGGGGUUGAUGAUUGGGGUGAAGUCGUAACAAGGUAAC
rnacentral:rRNA from 1 species